rnacentral:piRNA from 1 species
UGAUAGGUUUUUGCUUUCCUGGAUUGCUGUC